rnacentral:misc_RNA from 1 species
AUUGGAAUUACCAGAAGGCAUAGAUCCCAAGUUAGAAUCCAUUGUUCGUGACUGUUGGCAAAGUGAUCCAGAACAACGUCCAUCAUUUGAAGCAAUAAUUCAUCGGAUGACAAGCAUAGUACAAAGAGUUGCUCCAUCUCCUGUUCAGAAGGCUUUAUAGAGUUGGAAUUGCAAUCUACCUCUUAGAUAUAAAGAGAAAAAUACAAGUCAAAAAUAUCUGGAUAUAUAUUUGCGAAAGUAACGUUUGUUCUAAAUUUCUUUUUUGACAGAAAAGGGAAAGUAGCAGCAAAAUGAGAUUGGCUGCUAACAGCAGGUAGCUGCUCCAUUCUCAUCACAAUGGAAUUUUACUCCUGGGAUUUGAAGAUAUGUGGUUGUCAUCCCAUUUCAUGCAAGGCAGAAUCAGGUAUAAGUUAGGAAACUGGUAUUUAUGUGAUUACAUAAUCUAUCUAGGCAUUCCAACACCAAUUCACCAGGUGAUUUGCAAAAUUUUCUAUGAAAAUUAUGACCAUUAUUCAAGACAACAAGAUCUUAUACAUCAG